rnacentral:lncRNA from 1 species
AAAGUAGCUUCUAUUAGUUAAAUGUGUUUGAUUGUUAAAGAAAACCAAAAAUAUUGGACUUGAUUGAUAAAUAAACCCUAUGAUUAGUUAAUGGACAAUUAUGAACCUGCUAUGUUAAUAAUUUUGUUAAGAUUAAAAAGUUAAUUUGGUAAUUAGUUUAAUUAAAGAAAAAAACAAAAGAAAAAGAAAAUCGUAUCAUCAUCUUCCCAACUCUCUCCCAUCGAAAAAAAGAAACUCUAUCUUUGGAGCUUGAAGUUUUGGUUAGCAAAUUGGUGCAUGUAAGUUUUUC